rnacentral:sRNA from 1 species
GUUGCCGCUGAAGAACACCUGAAGCAGCAAACUUUGAGUUAAUCCCAGGAUCCGUGGAUCCUUGCUGGUAAGUCCCGACGGGCGACCUCAGCUUCCGUAGUCCUUUGGCCACAUGGAGCUCUUCACUUGGCGGUCAGACAAACUUUUCAACAAGGUCUAGUAACUAGUUUUUACCCUUAAAUUAUUGCCCACGUUAAGUGUACACGAAUACAAGUCAGAGCACAAAUGUCAACUCUAAAGAAAGUAAAUGUUUAAUG